rnacentral:lncRNA from 1 species
UACAACGUUGUCACUUGGCAAAUUGUUAUGCAAUAUUUCUAGCUCACAGUCGGCGAAUUCAAGAGGCUCCAGCCGUGGAGAAUUUCUAAUGCUUUCUGGUUCUUUUUUGGAAGGGACUAAUAAAGUGUUACCAAAAUGAGGGGCAGGAUGGUUAAUUCUAAAACUAUGCGAACUGAACAUCCUUGGUGAGCUAAUUGAAGAUUUUCUCAAUAAUCAAAAAGUUCUGUUGUAUACUUUCAGUGUCACACUCU